UUCAUUUGUAACUCUCUUGUUCAAAGGGUCUCAGUGCUGCUGUUUUGGACCCAGUGCGAUUACUAUGUUCACACCUGCACAAACAAACCGCGCCAAGGGGGAAAACAGAUUAAAUACCGAAGGUGUGAAAACACCAUGAGAUAUAUUGGAGAGUUCAGAUAAUGGGAGGGAAAUUGGAGCAGAGUCACUACUUCAUUGUGUCAAAAGGAGCGAAAAGAUUAAAAGCUCCAACUCUAAAAAGUUCUCAUUGUAACCUGAAGCCAAGUGAGGAAGAUACAAAGUGAUAGAAACGCUCCUGUUGAAUUCUAUUCGUAAGGCUCUUCUUCUUCACAAGCUCAAGAAAAACGUUUGUUGGUCAAUUUCAUGACUUUUUAGACCUGGGGAUUAGGGCUGGGACAACGCGUCGACGUAAUCGAUUACGUCGACGCAAAAAAUACGUCGACGUAAAAAAAUCUGCGUCGAUGCGUCGUCACUUUCAAAAAAAGACAUGGCGGCAGCGAGUAGCGAAAUCAUGAGUGAGGCAGUUGCAGUCAACUUAAAUCACUCCACCCGAACACGCAGUUCUACAGUAUGGGGAUAUUUUAACAGAAAAGGAAGUGAUUCAGUCGUCUGCCGGCUUUGUGAGGUGGAAAUGGCCUAUCAUAAAAGCACGACGGCUAUGCACCAGCACCUCAAACGACUGCAUCCAGGAGCAGCUUCUGCAAAGGACAAACCACCGAAUAAACAGAAAAGUCUGGAGGACUACUGUCAGAGAAGAAGUACACCAUGCACCCCCCAGGAGGUGGCUGUACUUACUGAGAGCGUCUUAGCUAUGAUUUUAAAAGACAAGAGACCACUUGCUGUGGGUGAGGGAUUCAAAGAAAUGCUGACCACUUUCCAACCAGGUUACACUCUGCUGUCUAAGCGUCAUUUUACAAGCAUGAUGGAGAGAAAGUAUGAAACUUCAGUGGAGAAACUAAGCAAUGAACUAAAAAAAGCCACAUCCAAAAUCUCCCUUACCACUGAUGCUUGGACAAGUCUGGUCACAGAGUCCUACUUAGGGGUAACUUGUCAUUUCAUUAUUUGUUCAAAGACGCCAUUGCUGCUGUUUGUAUAUUAUUAAUUUUUUGCUAUGAUUUCCUUUGUUAUAUUUGUUUUGCAAAACAUUUAAUUUUUUGUUAAAAACAGAAGAUUGCAGCACAAUGUUAUUGUGGAUUUUAUUUUGUGAAUGAACAGCACUUUUUGGCAGAAAGCAAAGUGAAUGUUACAUUUUGUUUGUUUAAAGACACCAUUGUUGCUAUUUAUUUGAAAUGUUUUGUUAACUUUUCCUUAAUUUUAUAUAUGUUUGCACAUUUCAUUUCUUGUUAAAUGCUAUCUCUAUUGUAUUGAUUGUACGACCUCUACAACUUUAUUUUGCAAUUGUUUUUUUAUUAAAAGGUCUUCAAAUGAA
ensembl:lncRNA